ensembl:snRNA
AUGUUGUAUGAAAGGAGAGGUUAACAUUCCCCUUGACAAGAAUGGAAGAGGCCCUUGGCCCUGACAACACACAUACGGAUAAAGCUUUGCCACCUACUUCAUGGCAUCCAACCAUCAUUAAAA